UACGUAGGGUGCAAGCGUUGUCCGGAAUUAUUGGGCGUAAAGAGCUCGUAGGCGGUCUGUCGCGUCGGCUGUGAAAACCCGGAGCUCAACUCCGGGCCUGCAGUCGAUACGGGCAAACUGGAGUGUUGCAGGGGAGACUGGAAUUCCUGGUGUAGCGGUGAAAUGCGCAGAUAUCAGGAGGAACACCGGUGGCGAAGGCGGGUCUCUGGGCAACAACUGACGCUGAGGAGCGAAAGCGUGGGGAGCGAACAGGAUUAGAUACCCCCGUAGUCC
rnacentral:rRNA from 1 species